rnacentral:rRNA from 1 species
GUAGGUGGCAAGCGUUGUCCGGAAUUAUUGGGCGUAAAGCGCGCGCAGGCGGUUCUUUAAGUCUGAUGUGAAAGCCCACGGCUCAACCGUGGAGGGUCAUUGGAAACUGGAGAACUUGAGUACAGAAGAGGAAAGCGGAAUUCCACGUGUAGCGGUGAAAUGCGUAGAGAUGUGGAGGAACACCAGUGGCGAAGGCGGCUUUCUGGUCUGUAACUGACGCUGAGGCGCGAAGGCGUGGGGAGCAAACAGGAUUAGAUACCCUGGUAGUCCACGCCGUAAACCGAUGAGUGCUAAGUGUUAGGGGAUUUCCGCCCCUUAGUGCUGCAGCUAACGCAUUAAGCACUCCGCCUGGGAGUACGGCCGCAAGGCUG